rnacentral:lncRNA from 1 species
CUGGAUCAUGACUGGAUGACAUGGAGAACAGUGGGAUUUUCAAAACAAUGGAACAAUCUGAUCACUGGAUCAUGACUGGAUGACAUAGAGAACAGUGGGAUUUUCAAAACAAUGAAAAGACAAUGGAACAUUCUGAUCACUGGAUCAUGAUUGGAUGGCAUGGAGAACAGUGAGAUUUUCAAAACAAUGAAAAGACAAUGGAACAAUCUGAUCACUGGA